ACUACAAACGACUCCAGGAGCCCUGGCUUCCCCGCACCAUGCACCGCAUCUAGUCAGCAUGAGGUCAGCAAAACAAAUCAACGAAACAUGAAAACUCCCAGCUGAGAUGGGCCCUCUUGUGUACGUCUAGCCACUAAUGCACAGGAUGAGAAUGCGGUCCCAAAGAAAUCCGGUACAUAAAUUUGCCGUAUUUUGUGAAGCCCAUUCUCAGCGAUGGGUACUGUUCAGCUCCAAAAAACAGAAAUGAAGAAAGACGAGGAAAGCUAAUUCAUACUAAAAACGGACAUUUUUAAGACACAGCAACUUGUAAAUCUCAACAUGGGACCACACUGUUGCCUUCAUGGGGCAGCACUCAACAAGAACUGGGACAAUCGAAGAGCAAGUUUUUAUGGGGACCCUGUUGCUGCUUUAGAUUCUGAUGUAAUUGAAGAGGAUAAGAGACCCUUCAAAGAAUCCCAGAAAAAUCACUAAUCUUCUCUCUGCAUGAAAAAAGCCAGGGAGUGAACACAGUAUCUUACAGAGUGAAGAAGGCCACAAGAACAAGAGAGGG